rnacentral:rRNA from 1 species
ACUCACCAGGUCAGGACACGGUAAGGAUUGACGGACUGAAGGCUCUUUCUCGAUUCCGUGGAAAGUGGUGCAUGGCCGUUUUUGGUUGGUGGAUCGAUCCGUCUGGUUAAUUCCGUUAACGAACGAGACCUCGGCACUCCGAAUAGCGCGGCGGACGUCGCGGCCUCCGGGCCGUCUUCCGCACGAGCUUCUUAGAGGGACCGUCCCCGCCGGGGAAGGAGGUGCGAGGCAACGACAGGUCUGUGAUGCCCUUAGAUGUUCUGGGCCGCACGCGCAUUACACUGACGCGUCCAACGGGUGACUCCCGACCCGAAGGGGCCGGGGAAUCCGCAAGGCGCGUCGUGAUGGGGAUUGAACGUUGCAAUUGUUGUUCACGAACGAGGAAUUCCUAGUAGGCGCGGGUCAUCAACCCGCGCCGAUUACG